rnacentral:rRNA from 1 species
AUGCUUUUCCUAAAGAUUAAGCCAUGCAUGCCUAAGACUAUGAGGAAGCAAUUCUCUCUGAAUCUGCGAACGGCUCCGCAAACCAGUUGUAAACCAUAGCAGUGUUCCGCCCGGCUUCAGCAAUGGGGUCGGGCAUUAUAUGGAUAACCGUGGUAAUUCUGAGGCUAAUACAUGACACACCAACUCGGCGGGCUGGGGCAACCCGGCUUGCUGGGGGACGUGCGAAUCAGCAAUGCUAUAACGAACAUCGGGAAUGAGCG